rnacentral:rRNA from 1 species
AUGGCACCAUCUGCUAUGACCCCAAUCGACGCGCCUUCUCGCCGAGCCUGUUUCAUACCUUGUUGCUCGAGUGUCACCAUCUAUAUGCUGGUUUAUUAUGUCGAUGAUAUUGUCAUUGCAAGCUCUUCUGUUGCAGCAACAGAUCAUCUUCUUUGCCAUUUGGCUGCCACCUUCCCGCACACUCAGAUGACAAAUUGUAAGCCAGUUUCUACGCCCAUGUGUGUUCAUGAGAAGUUGUCCCGUGACCUUGGCACUCCUCUUGGCAAAGAUGACAUUCAUACCUACCAGAGCAUGGUCGGUGCACUGCAGUACCUUACAUUGACUCGGCUGGAUAUCUCCUCUGCUGAGAACAAGGCGUGUCAGUAUCUCUCCCAGCCAACAAAUGUUCCUUGGGAAGCAGUCAAGAGGAUUCUCCGGUUCAUCAAGGGACAAGGAUCGUACACUGAGGCAGAAUACAAAGCCCUGGCAAAUGGUGCUGCAGAGCUUCUUGGGUUCAGUCGCUUCUAUAAGAACCUCAUGUUCCUCAGCCAAGACCUCCAGUUCUAUGGUGCAAUAAUCUGGGUGCUAGUUCUUAACCGCAAACCCAGCGUUUCAUGCACGCACUAA